UUGAAGAGUUUGAUCAUGGCUCAGAUUGAACGCUGGCGGCAGGCCUAACACAUGCAAGUCGAGCGGUAGCACAGAGAGCUUGCUCUCGGGUGACGAGCGGCGGACGGGUGAGUAAUGUCUGGGAAACUGCCUGAUGGAGGGGGAUAACUACUGGAAACGGUAGCUAAUACCGCAUAACGUCGCAAGACCAAAGUGGGGGACCUUCGGGCCUCAUGCCAUCAGAUGUGCCCAGAUGGGAUUAGCUAGUAGGUGGGGUAACGGCUCACCUAGGCGACGAUCCUAGCUGGUCUGAGAGGAUGACCAGCCACACUGGAACUGAGACACGGUCCAGACUCCUACGGGAGGCAGCAGUGGGGAAUAUUGCACAAUGGGCGCAAGCCUGAUGCAGCCAUGCCGCGUGUGAAGAAGGCCUUCGGGUUGUAAAGCACUUUCAGCGGGGAGGAAGGCGGUGAGGUUAAUAACCUCAUCGAUUGACGUUACCCGCAGAAGAAGCACCGGCUAACUCCGUGCCAGCAGCCGCGGUAAUACGGAGGGUGCAAGCGUUAAUCGGAAUUACUGGGCGUAAAGCGCACGCAGGCGGUCUGUCAAGUCGGAUGUGAAAUCCCCGGGCUUAACCUGGGAACUGCAUUCGAAACUGGCAGGCUAGAGUCUUGUAGAGGGGGGUAGAAUUCCAGGUGUAGCGGUGAAAUGCGUAGAGAUCUGGAGGAAUACCGGUGGCGAAGGCGGCCCCGACAAAGACUGACGCUCAGGUGCGAAAGCGUGGGGAGCAAACAGGAUUAGAUACCCGGUAGUCCACGCCGUAAACGAUGUCGAUUUGGAGGUUGUGCCCUUGAGGCGUGGCUUCCGGAGCUAACGCGUUAAAUCGACCGCCGGGGAGUACGGCCGCAAGGUUAAAACUCAAAUGAAUUGACGGGGCCCGCACAAGCGGUGGAGCAUGUGGUUUAAUUCGAUGCAACGCGAAGAACCUUACCUGGUCUUGACAUCCACAGAACUUUCCAGAGAUGGAUUGGUGCCUUCGGGAACUGUGAGACAGGUGCUGCAUGGCUGUCGUCAGCUCGUGUUGUGAAAUGUUGGGUUAAGUCCCGCAACGAGCGCAACCCUUAUCCUUUGUUGCCAGCGGUCCGGCCGGGAACUCAAAGGAGACUGCCAGUGAUAAACUGGAGGAAGGUGGGGAGGACGUCAAGUCAUCAUGGCCCUUACGACCACUACACUACAAUGGCAUAUACAAAGAGAAGCGACCUCGCGAGAGCAAGCGGACCUCAUAAAGUAUGUCGUAGUCCGGAUUGGAGUCUGCAACUCGACUCCAUGAAGUCGGAAUCGCUAGUAAUCGUAGAUCAGAAUGCUACGGUGAAUACGUUCCCGGGCCUUGUACACACCGCCCGUCACACCAUGGGAGUGGGUUGCAAAAGAAGUAGGUAGCUUAACCUUCGGGAGGGCGCUUACCACUUUGUGAUUCAUGACUGGGGUGAAGUCGUAACAAGGUAACCGUAGGGGAACCUGCGGUUGGAUCACCUCCUU
rnacentral:rRNA from 1 species